UACGUAGGGUGCAAGCGUCGUCCGGAAUUAUUGGGCGUAAAGAGCUCGUAGGCGGUUCGUCACGUCGGCUGUGAAAACCUGAGGCUCAACCUCAGGCCUGCAGUCGAUACGGGCGGACUCGAGUUCGGCAGGGGAGACUGGAAUUCCUGGUGUAGCAGUGAAAUGCGUAGAUAUCAGGAGGAAUACCGAUGGCGAAGGCAGGUCUCUGGGCUGACACUGACGCUCAUGCACGAAAGCGUGGGGAGCAAACAGG
rnacentral:rRNA from 1 species